rnacentral:rRNA from 1 species
AGACAAGCUGAUACAAGCCUGUCAGUGGAUGGCUCGGUUCGAGUGCCGAUGAAGGGCGUGCCAAGCUGCGAUAAGCUCCGGGUAGGCGCAAGGAGCCUAUGAUCCGGAGAUUCCCUAAUGGGACCUCCUGCUUCUUUUUUAAGAAGCGAUCCGUAAGGAUUGGGAACCCCCCGAAUUGAAACAUCUCAGUAGGGGGAGGAAGAGAAAUCAAACGAGAUGUCGUUAGUAAAAGCGAUCGAAAGCGACAGAGUUCAAACCGAAUCCCUUCGGGGACAUGUGGUGUUGUGAGCCUUCCGUUUACCCAAACAUCAUAAGCGGAAAUAUUUCUGGAACGGUUUGCCACAGAGGGUGAUAGCCCCGUACGCAUACCGAUGUUUGGCGAGGAAGUGUCUCGAGUAGUGCGGGUUGGAAUUCUCGCAUGAACCUGGGGGUCAUCAACCUCCAAAACUAAAUACUCCUCGAAACCGAUAGCGAAAUAGUAGCGUGAGCGAAAGCUGAAAAGUAACCCUGGAAAGGUGGUUAAAAGUGCCUGAAACUGAUAGGUGAUAGUGUGUUAUGGCAUAAAAGGAUCUUUACAUCGAAAGAACCCGUCGCGAGGCGGUAGUAUGGGAUGUAUUGCCGGUGUCAUAACUUACGUUUGGAAGAACGGGCCAGAGAGUUUAUUCUGUUGGCGAGGUUAACCGGUAAGGGAAGCCGAAGCGAAAGCGACAAGUCCGUAGGUUUCGGCCAUGGGACGACGUAUUAAUAGUGCGUGUAGUCGACAGGAUAAGACCCGAAGCCCAGUGAUCUAUGCGUGGGCAGGCUGAAGGGUGACGAAAGUUGCGUGGAGGGCCGAAGCGGUAUUGAUAUGCAAAUCAUUCGUGUGACCUGCGUAUAGGGGUGAAAGGCCAAUCGAACUGGGCAUCAGCUGGUUCCUCUCGAAACAUGCCGUAGCAUGACCUGGCUGGAGAUAGACGGUGAGGUAGAGCACUGACUGGAGGAGUUGGGGGAGAAAUUCCUCACCUUCCUGUCAAACUCCGAAUUCCCCGUCGUCGAAGAAGGCUGGAAGUCCGCACUACGGGGUAAGCUUGUAGUGCGUAAGGGAAAGAACCCAGACUGUGGUUAAUGUCCCUCAGUGUAGGUUAAGUGUCAAUACUAAAAGAUGUCCUAGGCCAAAGACAACUGGAAGGUGAGCUUAGAAGCAGCUACCCUUUAAAAAGUGCGUAACAGCUUACCAGUCGAGGUUUAGGGCGCUGAAAAUGGACGGGGCUAAAACCUACCACAGAUACCACAGACCACCGCAAGGUGAUGGCGUAGAGAGGCGCUCUGCAUGGGUGGAAGCAGGGGUGUAAGCUCCUGUGGACCGUGUAGAAUUGAGAAUUCUGGCACUAGUAGAAGCAUAGUUAGGUGAGAAUCCUAACCGCCGAAGGGGCUAGGUUUCCUCGGCAAUGUUCGUCAGCCGAGGGUUAGUCGGUCCUAAGUUGUACCGUAAUUCGAGUACAGCGAAAGGGAAACAGGUUAAUAUUCCUGUACCAUCUGAUUGUAGUUAACUUCGGUUAACCCUGACGUUUCUGGAUAUGUUUUGCAGGGCUGUCGCCCUGUCUAAUCGUAUAAGCUCUUGGAGAACCGUAAUGGUGAGAAUUGAGUGAAAGCGUGAUGGAGAAAUAAAGCAAACUCCUGGAACCCGUGAAAAGGGAAUCAGAUGUCCGUACCGAGAUCUGACACAGGUGCCCCUAGCUGAGAAGGCUAAGGCGUGUCGGUUUAAUUGUGUUUAGGGAAUUCGGCAAAAUGGCCCCGUAACUUUGGAAGAAGGGGUGCCUGCCCGGUGAUCGGGCAGGUCGCAGUGACCAGGGGGCUCCGACUGUCUAAUAACAACAUAGCAGACUGCAACUCCGUAAGGACUAGUAUAGUCUGUGAUUCCUGCCCAGUGCAGGUAUCUGAAAACCGGGUUCAACCGGACGAAGGACCUGUAAACGGCGGGGGUAACUAUGACCCUCUUAAGGUAGCGUAGUACCUUGUCGCUUAAUUGGCGACUUGCAUGAAUGGAUUAACGAGAGCCCUACUGUCCCAAACACAAGUCCGUUGAACAUUUUAUCCUGGUGCAAAGGCCAGUGACUCCAAAUGGGAAGUGAAGACCCCGUGGAGCUUUACUGCAGCCUGUCGUUGUGUUACGGUAUUCAUUGCGCAGUGUAGAUGGGAGAUGUCGAUCCAACCCUCGUGGGGGUUGGUUAGUCACCAAUGAGACACCAUCCUUUGAUUACUGUAACACUAACUCCUUGUGAGGACAUCGGUAGGUAGGCAGUUUGGGUGGGGCGCCACACCCUCGAAAAGGUAUCAAGGGUGCCCCAAGGUCAACUCAUGUGAGUCAGAAACUCACAGAAGAGUGUCAAGAGCAAAAGUUGGCCUGACGUGAACACGCAAAGCAAGUGUUCACGAGAGGAAACUCGGGUCUAACGAACCAAUACGCGCUUUUGAUGAGUGCUAUUGACGACAGAAAAGCUACCCCGGGGAUAAUUGAGUCGUCGCCGGCAAGAGCACAUAUCGACCCGGCGGCUUGCUACCUCGAUGUCGGUUCUUUCCAUCCUGGCUGUGCAGCAGCAGCCAAGGGUGAGGUUGUUCGCCUAUUAAAGGGGAUCGUGAGCUGGGUUUAGACCGUCGUGAGACAGGUCGGUUACUAUCUAUUUGGAGUGUUAGAGGUCUGAGGGUAAGACGGAAAUAGUACGAGAGGAACUUUCCGUCGUCGCCACUGGUAUAUCGGUUGUCCGACAGGGCAGUGCCGAGUGGCUACGCGAUAAUGGAUAAAAGCUGAAAGCAUCUAAGCUUGAAACCAGACCUGAAAAGAGACCUCGUUUGAGGGCACGGAUAAAAGAUCCGUUUGAUAGGCUCGGGAUGUACGCACGAAGGUAACGACGUGUUCAGUCCACGAGUACUAACGCCCAAAUCAGCUAACAC